rnacentral:rRNA from 1 species
GAUGAACGCUGGCGGCGUGCCUAAUACAUGCAAGUCGAGCGAACAGACGAGGAGCUUGCUCCUCUGACGUUAGCGGCGGACGGGUGAGUAACACGUGGAUAACCUACCUAUAAGACUGGGAUAACUUCGGGAAACCGGAGCUAAUACCGGAUAAUAUAUUGAACCGCAUGGUUCAAUAGUGAAAGACGGCUUUGCUGUCACUUAUAGAUGGAUCCGCGCCGCAUUAGCUAGUUGGUAAGGUAACGGCUUACCAAGGCAACGAGGCGUAGCCGACCUGAGAGGGGGAUCGGCCACACUGGAACUGAGACACGGUCCAGACUCCUACGGGAGGCAGCAGUAGGGAAUCUUCCGCAAUGGGCGAAAGCCUGACGGAGCAACGCCGCGUGAGUGAUGAAGGUCUUCGGAUCGUGAAACUCUGUUAUUAGGGAAAAACAAAUGUGUAAGUAACUAUGCACGUCUUGACGGUAACUAAUCAGAAAGCCACGGCUAACUACGUG